ACUUUUAGAGGAAACUAGUUAAUCCAGUGGCCUUAGAAGCCACUAUUCUUGGUGCAACUCCAAGUAAAAGUA
rnacentral:tRNA from 1 species